rnacentral:rRNA from 1 species
UAGGGAAUCUUCCGCAAUGGGCGAAAGCCUGACGGAGCAACGCCGCGUGAGUGAUGAAGGUCUUCGGAUCGUAAAACUCUGUUAUUAGGGAAGAACAAAUGUGUAAGUAACUAUGCACGUCUUGACGGUACCUAAUCAGAAAGCCACGGCUAACUACGUGCCAGCAGCCGCGGUAAUACGUAGGUGGCAAGCGUUAUCCGGAAUUAUUGGGCGUAAAGCGCGCGUAGGCGGUUUUUUAAGUCUGAUGUGAAAGCCCACGGCUCAACCGUGGAGGGUCAUUGGAAACUGGAAAACUAGAGUGCAGAAGAGGAAAGUGGAAUUCCAUGUGUAGCGGUGAAAUGCGCAGAGAUAUGGAGGAACACCAGUGGCGAAGGCGACUUUCUGGUCUGUAACUGACGCUGAUGUGCGAAAGCGUGGGGAUCAAACAGG